UACAGAGGGGGCAAGCGUUGUUCGGAAUUACUGGGCGUAAAGGGCGCGUAGGCGGCCUGCUAAGUCGAACGUGAAAUCCCCGGGCUCAACCCGGGAACUGCGUCCGAUACUGGUUGGCUUGAAUCCGGGAGAGGGAUGCGGAAUUCCAGGUGUAGCGGUGGAAUGCGUAGAUAUCUGGAGGAACACCGGUGGCGAAGGCGGCAUCCUGGACCGGCAUUGACGCUGAGGCGCGAAAGCCAGGGGAGCAAACGGG
rnacentral:rRNA from 1 species